AGAGUUUGAUCCUGGCUCAGGAUGAACGCUGGCGGCGUGCCUAACACAUGCAAGUCGAGCGAUCUCUUCGGAGAGAGCGGCGGACGGGUGAGUAACGCGUGGGUAACCUGCCCUGUACACACGGAUAACAUACCGAAAGGUAUGCUAAUACGGGAUAAUAUAUAAGAGUCGCAUGACUUUUAUAUCAAAGAUUUUUCGGUACAGGAUGGACCCGCGUCUGAUUAGCUUGUUGGCGGGGUAACGGCCCACCAAGGCGACGAUCAGUAGCCGACCUGAGAGGGUGAUCGGCCACAUUGGAACUGAGACACGGUCCAUACUCCUACGGGAGGCAGCAGUAGGGAAUCUUCCACAAUGGACGCAAGUCUGAUGGAGCAACGCCGCGUGAGUGAAGAAGGCUUUCGGGUUGUAAAGCUCUGUCUUUGGGGACGAUAAUGACGGUACCCAAGGAGGAAGCCACGGCUAACUACGUGCCAGCAGCCGCGGUAAUACGUAGGUGGCAAGCGUUAUCCGGAUUUACUGGGCGUAAAGGGAGCGUAGGCGGAUGAUUAAGUGGGAUGUGAAAUACCCGGGCUCAACUUGGGUGCUGCAUUCCAAACUGGUUAUCUAGAGUGCAGGAGAGGAGAGUGGAAUUCCUAGUGUAGCGGUGAAAUGCGUAGAUAUAUGGAGGAACACCAGUGGCGAAGGCGACGAUCUGGACUGUAACUGACGCUGAGGCUCGAAAGCAUGGGUAGCGAACAGGAUUAGAUACCCUGGUAGUCCAUGCCGUAAACGAUGAGUACUAGGUGUGGGGGUUUCAACACCUCCGUGCCGCCGCUAACGCAUUAAGUACCCCGCCUGGGGAGUACGACCGCAAGGUUGAAACUCAAAGGAAUUGACGGGGACCCGCACAAGUAGCGGAGCAUGUGGUUUAAUUCGAAGCAACGCGAAGAACCUUACCUACACUUGACAUCCCUUGCAUUACUCUUAAUCGAGGAAAUCCCUUCGGGGACAAGGUGACAGGUGGUGCAUGGUUGUCGUCAGCUCGUGUUGUGAGAUGUUGGGUUAAGUCCCGCAACGAGCGCAACCCCUAUCCUUAGUAGCCAGCAGUUCGGCCGGGCACUCUGGGGAGACUGCCAGGGAUAACCUGGAGGAAGGUGGGGAUGACGUCAAAUCAUCAUGCCCCUUAUGAUUUGGGCUACACACGUGCUACAAUGGCGUAAACAAAGGGAAGCGAUCACGUGAGUGUAAGCAAAUCUCAAAAAUAACGUCCCAGUUCGGACUGUAGUCUGCAACCCGACUACACGAAGCUGGAAUCGCUAGUAAUCGCAGGUCAGCAUACUGCGGUGAAUACGUUCCCGGGUCUUGCACACACCGCCCGUCA
rnacentral:rRNA from 1 species